rnacentral:lncRNA from 1 species
UCGCAGCUACCGCUGUUGUUGUUGGCUGUGGCGCCUGUCGUCGUCAAAGUGGCUGUCGCGUGCAUGCAACACAACAACAAUAGCAACAACGAGCAUCGCACGCCAAAAGCUCGCAAACCACACGAACACACACACGCGAUAGUUGCCAUUUAACAGCAUAAACGCUUGCGUCUGUGUGUGGGCAUAGCGCAAAUGAAGAGAAACCGAAGGACGGACGCUCGGGCGGAAGACACCAAGCAUUCACACAGCGAAUUGGCAAAAAAAUUUUCCCGCUGAUUUCAGUUAUCAACAAAGCGAGCAACAGUGAGGCACAACCGAAGCAACGGGCAGCCAAGCACAAAGCGAGCGCAAAUAUUCAACUCGAACAGAGACGUGAAAAGUCGAAAAAGUCGGUGGAGAAGCGUCGAAAUUGUGUUGGCGUGUAACGGUUGACGAUUUCGCGUAGAAAAGGCGGUUAGUGGAUUUCGGUGUGAUUUGUGGUUAAAUAUUUGCGAAUCUCAAGUCAAGCAGAGAAAGUGUGACAAGUGAAAUUUUGGUGAUUUGCUUUGUUAAUACAAAACAACAAACUAAAAAGUUGAAGUAAAAAAAAAUCUAAAAAGCAGCGUAAAAAAUAACAAAAUUUACACAAAGUAAGAAAAAAAUUAAAAAAAGCAAAAAAAAAAUUACAAAAGUAAAGUUCCAGAGGUAAAAAAAAAGUGUAAAGCAAAGUUCAACUGCAACGUGAUUU